GGGGAUUUAGCUUAGUGGUAGAGCGCUUGCCUAGCAAGCACAAGGCCCUGGGUUCGGUCCCCAGCUCUG
rnacentral:tRNA from 1 species